rnacentral:lncRNA from 1 species
AUGUUUGUUUGUUUUUUUCGGAGGAAAAGGAGAAGCGAUCGGGAUGAUGGUGCUUCACACCCCAGAGGGAGUUUCGCUUCACAGAUAAGCGCCCUGAGUCAUGAGCUGAAUACGUGCCAGAAGGUUUCAAUGGCAGAAGUAAAUCCUAUCAAAGUUUGCUGUUGUGGUUGGACUGCUGACUCAAAGCGCUCGCUACGUGAGCUACCAGGGAGAGAUGGGGCUGGCAGUAAGUCACGCAGUGGCUCAUGUGGAAAUUGGGAGGCAGAAAUUGUUCUGCACAUGAACAAGAAACAAUCUGGUCUGAUGAAAUGCUGUGCUCUCUUCCUGCUGAGGAAGACAAGUGGCAGGUGAUCACAGAGGGUGUGAAGCUGUUCUGCAAGAAGUCAACAGGCAAGUGGAUAUGGCUUAAGUUCAACAAGGAAAAUACACGAGACUCCCCUGUUGAGUUUUUGGUAUAUAAAAUUUGCGAAGUUCACCUUUGGCAUGUGGGUGGACUGCCAUUUUGGGUGGUGAUGGGGAAUGUAGCACUAAUUUGAGAGUAGGUGAUCAUGAUAUAAAAGUGAUUGUAAGGCUGCACCCUGGUGCUUAUCUCUACUCUCUCUAUUGUUCAUUUCCUAUCUAUUGUUAUGGUUAUCACUUACAAUAAAAGGGCAUUGAUUUACA